UUACGCUGUUAUCCCUAAGGUAAUUUAAUCUUAUAAUCAAUAUCAAUGGAUCACACCAUUAUAAAUCAAUAUAACCAACAUAAAGAGGAGUUAAAUUAUAUUCCUCUCAUCGCCCCAAUAAAACAAAUAGGCCCACUUAACUAAACAAAACAAACAAUACACAAAUAAUAGACCAAAUGUUAAACUCUAUAGGGUCUUCUCGUCCCAUAAAAACAUUUAAGAAUUUUAACUCAAAAACUAAAUUCAAUAAAACAUUCACCAACUUAAGACAGCUCGUAUCUCGUCAAGCCAUUCAUUCCAGAUCACAAUUAAAGAACUAAUGAUUAUGCUACCUUUGCACGGUCAAAAUACCGCGGCCCUUCAACACUCAGUCAGCGGGCAGGCCAUACUUCAAAAACUAACAAGAAAAGAUGUUUUUGAUAAACAGGCG
rnacentral:rRNA from 1 species